ACGGUGAGUGAUGGGGUGACGCAGGAAGGUAGUCCAGCCCGGGCGGUCGGUUGUCCCGGGUAAGGGUGUAGGCCGUGCGGUAGGUAAAUCCGUCGCACACAAGGCUGAGACCUGAUGCCGAGCCGAUUGUGGUGAAGUGGAUGAUCCUAUGCUGUCGAGAAAAGCCUCUAGCGAGUUUCAUGGCGGCCCGUACCCUAAACCGACUCGGGUGGUCAGGUAGAGAAUACCGAGGCGUUCGGGUGAACUAUGGUUAAGGAACUCGGCAAAAUGCCCCCGUAACUUCGGGAGAAGGGGGGCCACAUCUGGUGAUGAGCUCUGCGCUCUGAGCUGGGGGUGGCCGCAGAGACCAGCGAGAAGCGACUGUUUACUAAAAACACAGGUCCGUGCGAAACCGUAAGGCGAUGUAUACGGACUGACGC
rnacentral:ncRNA from 1 species